GCCCAGGUACGCCAAUCCGGCAGAGCGACUCGGCUUAAACCCGAGUGUUUGCGGGUUCGACUCCCGCCUUGGGCA
rnacentral:tRNA from 1 species